AAGCUGUCUGGUUCCCGUUUUCGGAAAAAUGAUCCGGACUCAGGGUGUUCCUUGGAACCACAAAUUAUACUAAAAGCCAUGACUCAACUGGAUUAGCCUGGAUAGGUAAAUCCAGAAUCGAGUCAGCUGAUUCCAGGGUUCAUAUAAAAACCCCAGGGUGUCUCCAUUUAUCGGGUUUUGCUAUCUCACGUUUUCCUUCCUUCGACGAAAAACGAUCGCAGCUGAGUGUUUUCUGAAAACCGAGCGCAGGCGAGGUAGUAAAAAUCCAGAUUGUGUGAGUACCGUGUGCCAAUAGUACCAUGUGCCAACAGUACCCAUGGCUACAUCAAAUGGGUUUGCCAUAGCUAGAGAUGCUACUCCAACAAUUGUGGAUGAAAGGAAUAUACAAAUGGAUCAGAUGAAGGAAGUACUGAAAAAUUUUACUGAAGAGAUCCGUAGUAUGAAGAAUAUCCUGAGCGUGAUGGGUCAUAUUGUAAUAGCUCUACUGGUAGUAAUUUUUACAUAUUUGAAUGUAUAAGAAUGUAGGUGUUUGAAUUUCUAAUGAACUAUAUGGUCCAUUAUUAGCAAUGAAAUGACAAGUUGUUUA